UGGGGAAUAUUGGACAAUGGGCGCAAGCCUGAUCCAGCCAUGCCGCGUGGAUGAUGAAGGCCUUCGGGUUGUAAACCUCUUUUCUCAGGGAAGAUGAUGACGGUACCUGAGGAAGAAGCCACGGCUAACUACGUGCCAGCAGCCGCGGUAAUACGUAGGUGGCAAGCGUUGUCCGGAUUUACUGGGCGUAAAGAGCGCGCAGGCGGUCGUUCAAGUCGAGUGUGAAAGCCCCCGGCUCAACUGGGGAGGGUCACUCGAUACUGAUCGACUCGAAGGCAGGAGAGGGAAGUGGAAUUCCCGGUGUAGUGGUGAAAUGCGUAGAUAUCGGGAGGAACACCAGUGGCGAAGGCGACUUCCUGGCCUGUUCUUGACGCUGAGGCGCGAAAGCUAGGGUAGCGAA
rnacentral:rRNA from 1 species